rnacentral:tRNA from 1 species
GAACCUCUAGUUAAUUCAUAACAUUAGCUUGUCAAGCUGAAAUUACCUAAUAUAUGGUGAAGUUCU